AGUAAUAAAGUGAGAAGGAUUACUAGCACUAACAAGCGGACUCGCAACUAAGCCCUUUGGCAGCUAUCUCCCAUUCCCUCUUUCUUUCCUUCUCGCCCACCCAGUGCUGCUAUAAAGUAGGAAAGUAAUAAUAAAACAGUAAAGUAAGCCUGACAAUCACACAUGGGAGUACAAAAGAGUAGUGGUCAGUUUGCAACUCAAACUACAGACUUCAAGCGGGGAGUGUCGGUUUGGACCCCAGGAUCUGUGUUUAAAGAAUCCAAUUCAUUUAGUUAAGUCAAGUACCAACUCGGGCCCAAGAGAAUCAAACCAAGGAGAUCAAGUUUGAAACAAGAAGCAUAGGCAUUGACGCUACUAUUAGUCAUACUGAAGCUCGAAAGGAAGACUUAAAGGUAGGAGUGGCGGAGUGAGAUAAGUAAGUAAAAGACUAUACCCUAGGGAGGGCAGACUAACAACUAGGCAUUCAGACCUGAGUAGUAGGUCAACAGUGGUAGGUCAACAACCAAACAUAGGAUUUUCUGGCAGAAGUAGCAAGCUUGGUGGUUUUCGAGGUAGGGCUUUGUUCUUCUACUACGGAUUCCCAUUCUUCAAUGCAUGUGCUUAAUUCUCUGACUUUCGAGUGAGAUUCCCUAGGCAGUAGGUUAGGUUGAUCCUAAGCUAUAAGAUAAAGUACUAGAGAUGUGGGGCAGUGUUACAGCCGGAUAGUUCUAAUUGGAAUUCCCUUUUUCUUGUUUCAGUAUUGGGUGGCCUAGGUUCGAUCCCGAGUUAUUUGUUGGGGGAGUCAGAUACAUUAGUUGCAGGCUAACGAUUGAACAUGAGCGUGUAGGGAAACCCCGUCUAAUACUUAAGCUCGGUUUGUGAUCAGUGAAUUAUGAGAAGUAAUAGUAUAAGAAAGAGUAAGGCAAGCAAGGAUCAGAGACAGAGAUAUCGUAUUUGAAGUAAGCCAGAGCAGACUCAUGGGCAAUGGAGCAAGGUUCGGGGUCUAGGUAGGCGAAAUUAGGACUCGCCAAGCAACUAAGUAAGACGGCCAAGUCACUCUCGGAACAAGCAACGAGGGGAACAAGCUUAUCGUGUUCAGGCAGAGCGUGUUAGGAAAGAGUAGAAAGCGUUAGUUAGUUGUGCGUUAGCUGACUUGAGCGGGUCGGGUGCUACUUAAUAUCUCGGAGUUCUUGAGUGAGUUGCAUUUCCUUAGUUGUAGCAGUGUCCUGUUACCAAGUUAUAGAAGAUGUUAACUUCCGCUUUAUAUUCCAAUUCUCCAUCUAGCCCGAGUGGAGUUCGUUAGUUUUGAAGUAAUAAGUUAGUUAACCAAUUCUAUAUAUAUAUGGAAGAUAUAUGAAAUGAACCAAUAUGGAAGAUAUAUGAAAUGAAACAAUCCCUUGUGCUAACGCGUUAUUAUCGUUUCAGGGGUAGAGUGACUUCACACAGACCAGGCCCUACUUUGUUGUUAAUCUGCUCGAAGUAAAGUAGAUCGUUUCGUAGAAAGGUAACCCUAGAAAUCAAGUAGGCAAUGCAGUUUAGAGCGGAACCCAUGUGCCUUAGAUCAAUCUUUAGUUUAGAGCGGAACCAGCCUUAGUUAGAGAGAGAGUUUGAUAGUGUUGUAGAGUUUCGCGCUGUUAGGUUAGAGGGAAAGUCAGCAAUGCUGCUAGUAAAUAAUCAAUAGAUUCCAAGUAAACAAGGAAACAAGCCGAUCCUUAUUUAUAGUAGAAAGUACAACGCGCUACCCUUCCUUGCCAGUAAUAUAUUCUAACCUUUCAUUUAUGCUUUAGCCUAAACUGGAAUUGCAACUUACUUGCGCACAGCAGAUUCUCUCUCUCCCUCAUUGAUACUUGGAUACUUUGCUUCUCAAUGCCCGGGCAUCUUUCUCCUUAUCCUGAUGGAACAGCAGUCUAGUAUGGGGAAAGAAAAGUGCAACUUCGAUUAUUGCUCCUACUAUCAACUACUACUAGCAACUCUCUAAUCUAGCCCCUAGUCUUUUUCCACCUAACCACUUUUUCCACCUAAAGCACUUAGGGUAGGCAAUGAGACCAGAAAGGACAACCUAUAUCAAUGUAAGCCAGGCCGUUUUCUUCUUUUGCGGGGACAGGCAACUAUACUAAUGCCAUCUGAUUUCUUAUUCCCCCGUGUACGAACAAUCACAGCAAAGAAGCUUUAUCGGAUGAUACCCCAAUGUGCGCAAUACGACCCCAGGAUACAAAGAGAGAUCAGCCAUCACAUAGCCAAUUUAGAGAUUGGUCCGACCCGCUAACAAAGCCUUUAGACCUUUAGUACUAUCUCUUUCUCUUUCGAAGUUACGGAUGACAUUUCUUUUGUAGUUAUUACCCUAAGAUCUCCCACUUAUGCUCCGUUCUCCUCGGUAUAAGCGGUUCUUGUUUCAUAAGCUAAUAUGGCAACCUGGUAGUAUAGUGAGCUCUAUCUCUGGAUUAAGCUUCCGUCAUUGAUAGAGAUCAAUCACAUAGAACCUUUAGAGCGUACUCCUUCCUUUAUAACAGAAUGGAUUAAGAUCAAAAAAGAGGAGAGCAGAAAUCUUGUCAUCUAGUAGCGAAGAAUACGUUUUUUUGACACAAAGGAGAAUAGAAUGAAAACUCCCUGUCUUCACCUCUCGUCGAGUGGUGUGCUUGUUUUAGGGGUGAAUAUGCUUGCUCGCGGUAAUUAGGUUCGACUCUUUAAUGUUCUAUUUCGGUAUGCCGCUCCAAAUGGAUUUCACUCUUUCUUUAGUUCAUAGGAAGUGCCCUUCGGGUGAGCAUUCUUAUAAGUGUAAUGAUCCUUACUUCUCCGGGGAAAUAAAGGUUUCAAAUGGCCGGAUGACAUGCGAGCCGUGAAGUGCAGCUGAUCAAUCGCUUGUGAAAGAUGGAGCUAUUCUUUGCCUUGCAAGAAUGAUUAAUAGAGUCGUUAAGGGGCAGAGAAUCGGUCUUAGUUGACCGGUCAGACAAUACACUGAUAUUAGUUUACGAAAGGCUUUAAGGGCAGUGGAUUCCUCUUAUAUUUAGAUGAGAGAUCCAUUCUAACUAUUAUCUUAUUGACUGAACAAGUGAUUGCUGUAGGUACGGUAGAGACCUUGGGACUGACUCAAAAAAAGAUGGAUAGCAUUUAUGCCAAUGCUUAGCGAUCAGGAAAGAAGAGCGGGGCAAAUUAUUGAUUCUAUCUACGCCUACUCCAUGAAAGCACCAACCACUAUCUGGUCUCGAAAGCGAGUGAAUCAGUCCCAUCCUAAGUCAUUGAAGAUGCCCUGACUCGGGUCAAGAAUGGAAACUUACUGGUAUACUGACAGCCUAUCUUCUAUCUCUUUUCUGGGCGUGGGAUAAGAGGAAAGAGCUGGAGUUAACCUCAACCAAACACCACUAAGAAUUGGAGAUGAUUUGAUUUCCCACACUAACAUACAAAAAAGAAAUUCUAUAAAAUGGGUUCUGUAGCCCAGUCCUAGGUGACAGCACUCGAAGUCAAAAGAACUUCCUGUCGCACAGAGAUGACUUAUUGAAAAACAGCACCGCCUGUGAAGUAAAGAAACGGAACUUAAUAUAAGGCCUAUUCCCUCCCUUUGAAGUCAAGAGAAAGGCUAACUGCCCCACCUUUGAAGUAAAGAAACGAACCUAGCAGCCCUACCUUUGAAGUAAAUAGUAAACGCCAGAGCCCCUGCCCCUGUACGACUAAUAUACGAAUAGACGAAUUGAUCCUCGUUGUGUUCCUUCUGAACUUCCUAAUUCUCAGGCAUCUUCGGGUUUAGGGUAUUGUCUUGUUCAACUUCAAUCUGGGUUCGGUGAUUGGUCUUGUUUGGGGAAGACUAUCUUACUGGCUUUGAGGCUCGGGUAGGCUUUUUUGACUGACUUGGCGGGUAGGCAUUUACUGACUUGCUUGUGCCGGGUGGUGACCACAACUACUCAUUCUAUUACUGGGGUCGGGUAGUCAAAAGAGAGUCCCUUCCUCGGGUAGUCAAAAGAGAGUACCAUCUUUUAGGGUAGGGCUAGGGUAUUGUAAUCAAAUCAAUGAGAAAAACAAUCAAAUGAAUAACCUCUUUCGAGCUUAGCGCCUUUAAGUCUGGAACUAAACCUUGCUCACCCUCUCGAACAGGGCAUGAAUAAGUUGACUUUAGAACUAGAACUGGUCUCUUACUAAAAGUCAGACGAUAAGUAACACACGGUAUAGAGGCUUGGUAAAGAAAGAGAAACUGAAGUCACUCACUACUGCUGGCUUUUGUCACUAGCUACGUUGCUUGCCCCUGUUCUUGUUCUAGUGUCAUCCCCCCUGAAAGUAGUCUAGUAGUUUCGUAGUCCUGUUUCAUAUGUACUUGUUGGGUCGGCUAGGGAAGCAGUUUAGGAGGUCUGCAAGGUCAGCUGUGGAAUCAGUAGUUGUUAGAGAGAAAAGAUGCUAUGUGUAAGUAUUAGUUGACUCGGUAUCAGGUAAGAGAGAUAUUCCAUUCCUUGUAAGGUAAGAGAGAUAUUCCAUUCCUGUAGUUGGCGAGUUUAGAGCCGAGUUCAGGUAAGAAGAUAGUAGUCCUGUUGCAUCUGUAUUAUUUGACAGAGGAGUUGUUAGUUUACUUACCGGUAGUGAACUAAAGAAUAGAGUUGACUUCAGAAUCGAAUGGGAUGAAUCGAUUUGGAAGAAAUGUGGGAUGAAGAAAUUGGAUCAAAAUGAAAAUAAAGCAGAAAAGUGGAAGUUGCUGCCGCUAUUAAUUAGGACUCCGGAAUAACUGGGUAUAACGUAUUUUAUUUGCCAAAACAGCUGCCGCGCAACAUUAGUAGUUGUUUGUUGAAUGCAAGUGAGCCAUAUAAUCCUGUAUGUCUGCUUGGCCCCUACGAAAAGAUGUAAUUUACAAGUUCAUCAAAACAAAGAAAAGUGGAGUCUAUAGGUUCCUUGUGUGCGAGUCAGCCUAUAACUCUCAAUCUGGGGGGGUAAAGUACUGGCUUUGAAGCGGGAAUAGAAGCAGUGCUAAAGAAGCAAAUAGUUCUGGGAAAUCCAAUUCACUGAGUUGCUGCUAGUGUGAGUAGAAUCCGUCUUUUCACCCCUUGUUUCAUAUGUAUUUGUUAAAGAUGUUACUGGCUCCACUAAAGAGACUGCUCGAGGUCAAGCAGAAAGCUCAGGUUAAGGCUUUGUUGCGAGGUAUCUGCUACAGGCAAGCUUAUACUAAACUAGUCCUUUGCCCUUAAGUAAUUGGGCUUUAUCUGUCUACUUGCUAUGUGCUCGGGACGGGAGCAAUAACUGUAUUUGUAGUCCUAUUCGAGUGCCCUGCCUAGCCUUAGGGGUCUCGUAAGAAGCCAUAGGUACCGGAGCCAGGCCAGAGAAGGAUAUUAAUCAUCAACAGGAACCAGAGGCAGAGGAGCCGAACCGAAUUAAGUUAGUUAAUAGGAGCCGAGCCAGCUGCUUGUUGAAAGAAGUAUGAGUUUACAGAGUUGGAUAAGCCGGGAGUGUUAGUUGAAGUGCUCUAGUUCGAGAAGGAAGAAUAAAGCCAGUAGUCAAUUAAUCCAGUAGUAUAACCGAUGUGUUUAGUUAAAGGGGUAGGCUGUUAUUAAAUAGAAGUAAAGUCUAGGUCGAGCUAGUGUCAUUUUUAGUCGAGGGAUAGGAUUGCAACCAUCUGGUCGGAGAGCAAGGGAACCGCUUUUGAGUAGUGGGUAGAAAACGUGCAAUUCAGUACUGCCCUAUUGCUAAAGAAGAGGAACAAGAAAAGUAUUAGUUAACAGAGGAGAAGCUUUGAAGCUGGGUUGAUUCUUUAAGUAGUAGGGAUUGAUUCUGUCGUUUAAUACCUUCUCCUGUUCCUGGUCGAGUGUGAGUUGAAGACAGGUAGUACUUGUUACUUCUAGUAGUAGUAGUCCUGUAGAAUCCGCAUUUGUAGUAUUAGUUUCCAUCAGUAUUCUUUAUUUAUUGCUUCAUUCUUGUUGGUCGAAAGAAUAGGGUAAACGGAGCAUUCUUUCGCAUCUUAUUGAGUUUUUUGGCAAAUAUUGACAUGACGCACCCCCUUUGGGACCUAGAAAUGCAUUAGAAACCCUUUAUUGAUGGUUUGGGAACUCUUCUAGGGUGGUGGACUGGACUUCAGUUACUCAGGUAGGGGAGGAUUGUUUACUGACUUGUUUUAUUCCUGAAAUUGACUAGCGGCCCUGCCCUCUUACCCCAAGGCAUAGGGUGGUGAAGCGAAUAGUGAAAUCAAAGAAAUGAGAAAAUCUUCAAAAAGUAAAAAACGACUUCUCUGUCUCAUGUACCUACACAGUACACACUCAGUAGGGGAAAACAGCGGAGAAUUGUCUCUCUCUUUAUUAAAGAAACUAGAAUGUCAUAGAAUAGAUGUGGUUGCGCCUAUUAUGUGUGCCUAUUAUGGGUGACCUGUAGAAUAGAUGUGGUUGCGCCUAUUAUGGGUUAGUUUUGCCUAUCAUGUGUUUUGUUCAGGCGAAAGAGAAGUUUCAUUAUAAGAAUAGGGGCAUCCACUAUAGGAUUUCUCCUCUUUUUCUCGUUUGAUAGCAAAUAUUACAUUAGCUACCCCCUUAGGGGCCAAAAAACACCUUUAUCACUAAAAGAUUUCUUGUCUCAGAAAGCACUUUAGGAUGGGUUUGAUGCGAGGGGAGUCAUUCUAUUACAUUCCUAUUACAAGGGUAAGGGUCGGAUAGCAGUGGAAUAGCGGCUCUGCCGCGACACAUUAUACGUGUCUUGGCGGCUCGGGUCGGGUAUGCUGGUUUAAUGAAGUUACUAGGCUAGGUCAGUUAGUAGUUAGGAAGCCUACCUAAAUUCUGUAAUUCCAACUUCUGAGCUUGCUGGCUCCUUAUUCACUUCAUUCUCCCUUUCCACUAUCCCUCUCUGGCUCUGGCCCCUACUAUAUGGAAGGGCUUUCCCCACUAAAUGCAUUCUGAUCUUAUUAAUGAGAAAGUUGACUCGCCCCCCUUUACCCUAGCAUUAGGAGCUUACUUAUUCUUUACCCUAGCAUUAGGAGCUUACUUAUUGCUGAAAGAUUCUAAGAAGAAUGACUCUUAUGGGGCACCCGCUCCAACAAUCAGUGUUAGCGCCACUAAAGCACCCGACCCGGCCUAUCUUUCUGAUCCUGGCUCAGAUCCAGCUACUGUUACUGUUCCUGUACUUGUCUAGAGAUGUUUUUAAUGUGAUUGGCUGCUGUACUUCUAAAAACAUAUAAAGAUGAGAAAUCAUUAAUUUGUGAGUAUAUGUUUCAUGCUUUUACUACGUUAAAGGACGAGUAGUUGGUUGGUUGCUUGCCCUGUGGCAUCUGAUCAAACAAGUAUAUACUAUUAGAGAAAGGGCAUCUAAUUCUUUUAGGGCCAAGGCGAACUGGAGCAGCUUUAUCCAAUUUAGUACUUAGUGGGACCCGACCCGGAUUUGGAGUCUUUAUGAGCCGUGGCACACUCUUAUUAUAGGGAAAGGAGCACUAGGUUCGGUUGGUUGUCGAGAGGGAGGAUCAGAAUAGAGUCACAGAUACUAGGUUGGCGCCGAGAUAAGUCAAUUCUGUAUUCUGUGUUUCCUGUUUGCGUUUCGAGUCUAAGAACAGAGGGAACUUUUCAUCAGCCUUCUUGUCCGUGGAACAGUUGUUUGCUAUAGUGUGAGAAUUUGUAUAUGUCGCCCUGUAGUGCUCUUUGGUUGCCUUACUUAGUCAUAUGAGUGGAAUUAUUACUUUCGAACUGGAACUGGCACCACUACAAGGUACAGCCCCGAACCAACACUGUAAUCUGUAACUAUAGUGAACACUAGAUUGAAGUUGCACUAGACUAGAUGAUUCUUCUUGCCCCAACUCAACCUACUACUCUAGACUAGAUGAUUGCCCCAAACAAAAGUGCUUAUCCAGCCGCAUUCUCUUGAAACUUUUUCUUAUACUUCUUUCAUCACCUGCUUCUAAUGCUGAUGAAACUCAAACUCACUACGUAGCAGAGCGGUUAGGCUUUCUACUAGGCACCCAACAAGCAUAUAAAGUAAUUAAUAUAAGAAUAGGGAUAGUCAAAGUAUUAGAAUAGUAAUAGUAUUGCUUGUGUCUGUCCUUUUCCAUCUGUAAGCGCUAAGAGAACUUUCACUGUAAACUCCCUUCCUUCCUGUUUAAGAGAGAGACCCUAACUGUUCCCCUUCCGGUUCUUGCUUUGUAUACGUUUGCUUGGUCAGGCUAAAGAGGAGCUCCAGCGGGACUAUCCGUGUAAGAAGACCUUUUUCUCGUUGUUUAAGCUAGGGUAAACUAAUCCAAAUGUGGUUGAAUUGGGCUUUACCUAUUGGUGUACCCGAAAAGCUCGUGUAAUGCCUUUGUAGCCUAGAUCACUUUCGAACUCCCUUAUGCUAAGAGGAAAGAAAACAUCAAUAGAAAUGGAACUGACUUAUCAUCUGCAUCUAAUCUAGGAAUGAAAAUGAGCACACACCACACUGAGUCUUGAUACGAGUCAAGGAAACCAGUAAAACUAGUAAUUCCACUUGUAGCUGACUUGAGUCUGAUCGGUGUUAGUUUGAGUCUUUCUGUUCACUAGUCCAUUCUGAGUUGUACCAGCUCCGUUCCUUGACUCCCCGGUUUCAUUCUAUAGCUCCAUUCCAAGCCUACCCGGGUGAAGUCUUUGCCCUAGUGGUUUGAUUCUGAGUUUAGUUAGCACAGGUUUGAGUCUAUCACUGCCCGGCAUCAGACUUGGAUUCACUAGCUGAACUCAACAAGCAACUACUAAUGACCAAGCCACUACUAACCAAACAACGGCGCAAGACGUUGAGCGGUAGCAAUAGUAAUAGAUAUAACAAAGUUAUUACAAUAGAUGUGUUCUGGGCGGUAGGAGGAAGUGAGCUAAACGUUAGCGAGUUCGGGACUCACUCGUUCCAUUCUUUUACUAAUGAUCGGUAGGCUUACUAGCCACAUACCAAUACCUAGCAACAAUGGUUUUCUUCUUUGACUCCCUAGCUACAUACCUAGCAGGCACCGUAUCAGGCUUGUUAGCGAUGGUUUAAGUCUGUAACACCUAAGCAUCAGCCUGUAACUACCUUGUUAAAGUCUUACCAGACACCGCUUCAGUCUGCCCAGCACUUGUUCUAGACCAGUAGAGAGAUGCAUCAGGCUUGGACUCCUGAGCACCCGAACCGACCUCUGCUAUGUAAACUAAGUCUGAUCUUGAAACCGCAAAGCCCCCCUUUCCCUAGCAUAAGGCUUGCACUCCUUAGGCACAUUCCGAGCAGUACGGUGUGUAGUCUCGCUACCCCUACUUUCAGUCUUAAACUCAAUAGCUUUAUUCCGAUCCUACCCAGGUGAAGCCUUGUCCUCACCAGCCCCAUUCCUUGCCUCACUCGUUCCAUUCCGAGUCUACGCCGUUCCAUUCUUACAUUCCGUAUUCAUAGGCUUAGUUCUACCCCCGCUCCCUUCCUAGCCCAGUAACUCCCUUCGGUCAAUCGGUGGGAAUGUAGCUACUGGCUUUAAGGCUUUCCCUUGCUAGUUUGAUUCUUUGAUUGACUGAUUUCAUUCUGAUAUAUCUAAGCAAAGGAGUGGAAUUCUUUCAUAUACUAUUCCAUCUCUAUAUACUAUUCCAUCUCUAUAUACUAUUUCAUCUCUUAUAACUGAAUGAGGCUCAGUACAAUAGGUAACAUCUCUUUCUUCAAUGCUUGUUCAUUUCGAAUCGGUCAAGGAACAGGAGAGUUUAGCCAAUAAAGAAAGCUUAGAAGACUAGUUACAGUGUGGGCACCAGAUCAACUCAGUGAGGACAGGACGGGCAAUACCACUUUUCCUCCGAUAUAGUAAUGUCAGAGUAGGAGAAACUCUGUAAAGAUAGGAGAUGUUUAGCCAGUACAAGCUGUGACACCCAUCCCAUCCCGACUUGGAGUUUUGUAGCCAGGAAGAGGCACCUAGGAGGGAAAGAAAGAACUAACAGAAGCGGAGAGAUUAACCUGCAGGGACGCGCUCCGAUCUAAGGCCUUGGCUGACAUCCCCGCGAAGCUCCACCUUCAAACAAAAGAGAGCUAUGUAGAUUUAUUGGUCUAUCGUGGUAAACUGUGAGGAACUGAAAGGAUAUUCGUUUUUAGCCAUUUCAGUGUGGGUAGGCUGCCCCAAUCAAGCGUAGCGAUCACUGAACGAUUGAUUCCAAUUAUUCUUUUUGACUAUUCUUAUACUAUGAUGAUUAUACUAUGAACGAUUGAUUCCAAUUAUUAUUAUACAUAUUUGUAUUAUACUAGAUUUGUGUAUUAUACUAGAUUUGGUUCUUGGAUGAUAUAGAUGGUGGUAACAAUGAAGCGGAUUCUGAAUCUUCACCUUCCAACUGUGGUUAUACCUUACGGCGUACCUUACUUCUUUUCGCAUCUAAUCUAUGGCUUAGUCUAGUCCUUACUAUCUGACUUUCCCGACAUUAGUGAGAUUGAGAACUUCUUCCCUAUAGGGUGGACAGUACUCGACAUUCUAGAUAGUAAGCAUAAAGAAAGGUAAGUAAUAGAAAAAGUAGGGUUGCACUGAUCCUUCACAACAACAGGAAAAGGACUUGACUUUUGACCUAUAGCUUUGGCGUCUAGUAGUUGCUUGGUGACUUAACCCAGCGCUUCCAAGGCUUCAAUGAGGUAGUUACAGACUGAUGCUAUUGCUGGUAAGACUUCAACAAGGUAGUCAAAGAACCAAACCCAUGAGUGCCUUAUUCUAAUUUCUGAUGCUAUGUGGCUAAGGUCUAGUAGCUGGUAUGCCUCAUUUAUUAAGUCUUCCCUGCCAUUAGCCUGGACAACCAGACUUCAACUACUAACUACAGGACUAAGACACCUAACAUCAAGACUGAAACAAGUGAGUACCUUACUAUAAUUUCUGAUACCGGCAAGUCCAAUAGGAUAGAAUGCAACCGCCCAGGUUAAAGGCUGAAACCUGUACUAACAAGAACCAAAGCACUAACUAAAGGAACCAAGGCACUAACUCCAAGCCUGAAAGCAAGGGGAGCUAGCUCCGACUUCAACAAAUGCUACUAAUUCCCUGGCUAGGGAUGUACUGGAUAAGAAUCAAACUCGGGAGUUACAGAACGAAAGUAGUUAGUAGAAACCUUCAAGCGAGGGGGCAGCUAGUAGACUUAAGUCAAGAAUUCGACCAAUACCACCGAAUUGAGUGAUAGAAUGCAACUACUAACAACAGGACUACAACCACUUGCCAAACAGAAUGAACCAGGUAAGGCAUAGGAUGCAGCUAGUAACAACCAGACCGAGACAAGAAAUACAGAAUAUCCGAAUACAUAAUUCCACUAACUGGGGGGGGAAAGUCAGAAUGAGAAACCAGUAAGGGAAAGAAUGCAACUCGUCAGUAAAGGAAUGGAAGCAGUAGCUGGGAGAUAGAGUUAGUGCGGGGCGGGGUGAACUCAAAGGUCAGAAUGAAACUAAGAGGUAAGCUAGUAGGCAAGUAGGAGUUAAGGAAGUAACUAGGCCACAAUACCACUGAUUCCACGCUUCUUAGGGUAGUAGAUCAGAAUUCCACUCAGCAAUCUAAGAAUAUAACUAUUGGGUAUAAGCCUUGCCUUCUUAAGCCCCUAGUAGUGCUUGGCUUGCUCCUGCGCAGGAGUCCGGUUCUGCUUAAAGUGGAGAGUCCGUUUCCAGAUCAGAAGCUUGGCUAGGAAAGCCGUAGAUAGAGGAAGCAGAGGUCUAGUUGUCAGCUGCCAGUUUCAUACCGAGUGGAAUCCUAUUAGAAUGCCAUUGAAAGCGGGUUUUCUCUAUUCCUAGCGUUUCACCUAUUACUUUCAAUCUGCAACUAAGUAAGGGAAUGGAUAAGUAAGGGAAUGGAUAUUACCCGGGGCUCCUGCCGCUCUGUGUUCGGUGUUUUUCGAAGGAUUGACCAUCUAACUAAAUAAGUGACCAAGACACUGCACCUGCAAACUGAAUAUAUAAGGGUCGCGGUAGGGAGCUAAAACGAGUUCAUUGACGCCUAACAUCCUUGUGGGUUCCACAUACAUGCUCCUUCUUUACCAAACCUACCCUCGUAUUGGAAUGAAACAACUACCCCCAAAGAUACUUACUCGUAUGAUUGACAACACCCUCCCUUUCUACUUAACUGACUUUCUGUUAGUUGCAGGUGGUUACUAAACUAGGGGUCAACUUACAAUAAGGGCCUCUUUUCCUUGGUCACUACUUGGCCCACCUCUGCAGAUAUAUAAGUAUUCUGUCUAUGCGCCCCGGGAAUUAGCAACUUUAUUGAUUUCCUCCCCACGCCUGAACCUUACUUUAUAUCUGUCGUUUUCUACCUUCCCUUCCUUAGUACCUUACAGUGGGUGCGGCCUAUUAUUAGUUUAGGGCUUUUACUGAUAGCAACCAUGGUUUGAGAUCACCUAGAAAUGAAAUCACAGAAAUAUUCAUAAAAGUUAUAAACAAGUGAGAUAAGCCAAGCAACUGCUACAAACAGCCAAGCUACGGUAAAAAACGAUGCAAAUGUAGAAUAUCUCCUCUGAUCUAGUCCCGCCGAUUCCUCUGAUCUUGGAGACUUCCCCGGAACUUACUUCACCUUUCUACUGUGGAGCUUCUGUUUGGACUGGCGAAUCAAACAAGUAAGUAACAGAGAUAAGCUAGUACUAGUUAUGGGAUAGUAGAGUUGUAGAACAAAUAAAGCCAGAGGGGUCUAUUAGCCGGAAGGGUCUCAUUCGUCAACUCGGGAUUCUACUCUCAAUCCGGUGUUCCACUCAGGUCCUUUACUAAAGAAUAGAGUGAAGGAAGAAUGAAUCGAAGGAAGUAUUUAAGUAAGUGCUGCAGUGCCAGGAAACUGGAAAGGAUAAUACUCUUAAAGCAAGGGCAAGGUAAGAAGGGUUGCUAGCUCUAAGUCUUCAAGGGAAGAAAGGAGUUUACUUACUUCAACUCAGGAUUCGAAUUCUCUCUACGUAUUUGGAUUUUGCUCUUAUAAGAUCGAUGGUGUGGGCACCUAGUCUUCCAUUUCCUAAAGCUUUUUCUUUGUCUUAGGUGUCACUCACUCUUAUUAUGGAUCUUAUAGGGCGGGUGGACGUUCUCUAAAAGAAAGGCCCGUGUACACACACAUUAUAAGCAGUAUCCCGAACGAAGGCAUAAGAUAGAAGAUGGAGCUAUGAACUUCCGGGCACAGAUGACCUUCUUUCUCUUUUCUUGUUAGUAUUCAUUAUGCGAGAUAGGCAGGACUGCGACACCGGCUAUACAAACUCUCACACUUGCCAAGUCUUGACGUCGAGUUUGGAGUCAAAUAGAGUAUUAUGCAACUCAGUAUAGAGCACUAAUAGAGAUCGAAUAUUCAUGGCGUUAGUCUAAGUGGUGUUCAUGGCGUUAGUCCGAUGCCUUCAUGGAGUCCUGUGUUCAUGGCAGUAGGAAUUCUCACAAUUCUUUUGCUGAUAUUCGUGAUUAAAGGGCGCAGCUGAGCUAGAUUCAAUGAUUCAAUGAUCCCGGGUAGCAAGUAGUAGAGUAGUUAAGAGCCAGACCAGAGUAGAGAGAGGCUCGGGAAGAAAGAUUAUCUGCUUCAUCUAGGCAUUCUUACUCUAAGACAACUCUAUCCCCCCUUUCUUUGCCUCAAACAUCAAACAUGGGACUUAUUCCUCCUAACACCAUUGAGUUUUGUUAUGUUGUGCGCCAAGUAAUACAGUAUAAUUGACUCUCACUGAUGCUUUCUCACUUAGGAAUGCACCUGCAAACAACACUUAGUCUUCUUGCGCCGAGCUAUCAUAGCAUCUAAGAUCUUAUUAAUAUCACCUUUCUCUAUAUUCCCCUAUUGAAUAUAACCUUUCUCCAUAUUCCCAUAUCUUAUUUGCUUUUACCGACCUAAACUCUCACUUACUCUGAUCCAGCGGAUUCUUUAGCCAGUGCUUUACCCUCUUUUGUUUCCGCACUAAAAUCCAUUCCUUUACCAUAUCUUCUUCUUCUUCGAUACGAACAGCUGAUUCUUGAGUAAAUGACAGCACUACUUCCGACAACAAAGGUAAAGCCAAUCAAUCACCUUCCAAAGAAUAUCUCUCUGACUUUGAUUACCGAGUUUUCUUCUAUACCAUACCUUAUAGCAUUUUCAUCUUAUACUUGCACAUUAGGAGUGACUAAGCCAACCCUUCUUUCUGCGCCCUUAACGUAAAGGAAGCAGUUAACCCAACAAGUCACGUAAUAACUUCAUUAGAACAUAUUUAUGGAGUUCUUGCCUUCCCGCAACACCUGAUUCACUUAUGGCUUUGAAAGCCCAAAUAGGAAGUUUCACCUCUCGAGUCGACUACAACAAGAACGUAACUACUUUGAGCUCCAGCAGGACUAUAAGGAAGGAAGGUAAAGAACAGGAACUCCACGAAACGACAACAAAGAAUCAUCUACAGUGGUUUCGAGCGCAUGUAUAUAUGAUUGUAAUCUUACCCGCCUCUAUUCAAUACCUCCUUACCUUAUGCUUUGGAGUGUCCUCUUCUCUUACUUAGUUCUAUACACUAAGCUCUUAUUCCAUUCUGAAUUCUUGUUCUUUCUUUUGCAGAACUCUACUUUCUACUUGCAGAUGACCUUACUUUAGCCUCGGAUUCUGAACCUUGGAUCAAGACUCACUUCCCCGGCUGAUGCUCCCGCUCUAGACUCUAUCCUUUCAGACCUGCUUACCCUAUGUCAACAAAUUAGGAUUGAUUUCUUCCUGAGAUACCACUGGAUUUCUUUCUUAUAGAACAGAUGAAACAAGAACCCGAACUGGACAACUUGGAACUAUACAGCCUACUUUACUUAAGCUUUAUCACAAGCACUGAGUUUUGAUUACUAUAUAUGUGUUCGUGUGCGGCAGGGCUGCUCAAAUAAAUAACCCUGCUGGCUCUGCUGGGCGAGUGGAUUCUUCCCCAACCGGUAACUUCACUCUUUAUUAACUUCCCUCUUUUCUUUCCUCUCCCUCUCUAUCUGGUGUUGGAGACAAAAGAAGAUAGUACUUGCUUUGUUGCGAUUGGUUAAUUCCAUUCAAAUUGCAUUCUUUAGUAGGAGCAGGGGAUAUACUAUUUUGCCCUAGAAACCCGCUUGCUAAAUACUCGUAUUCAGGGCACCUCGUAUCAAAAGCAGUAUAAUCUUCUGUCUUGUGAACUUGUAUAUAAGGGGACGCGUCAGUUAAUGGCUCGAUAAGCAAAGAUAAGAUGACAAGUCCAGCCCCAGCUCUUAAAGCAAAGGUUGAUUCGUCCAGCACUGUCCACGACCUAUACUUUCGGUGAAGAAGAGAAGAGGAUUUAGCUAGGUCUGAUAGAACCCGGGAAAAAGAAGAACGCCUUGACGCAGAGUAAAGUACCUGGAAAUAGAAGCUAUGCCUCCCUAAAACAAUAUUAGGAAUUAUAAGCCUAUCGUACGCCCGUGUCUAUCUCCUGUCAAGUGUGCUCCCUUCCAAGCUACUCUCACAGCAACUAUAACAGUGUUACUAACAACAAAGAGCAGUACCAGCUCAUCAGUGGUUCAAGUGCAGUGCCCGGAAACGGUUCUUUGAUCUAUGGCGACAACAAUUUCCCAACUGAUCCAUGGUAAAUAUAUUCCAAAAAUCAUAAUGAAAGCGAGUAUCCUGAGUUUCAUAACCUAAAGCACAGGUCUGUCUUAUUAUCAACAGCGGAAGCAAUCCUAUGAGGGUAUCUUUGGUUCUCCUCUAUGAUUGAGUUUGAUAUGUAUACUUAUCUGGAGACAUGGCUAUCGUAUGUCCACAGCGCUCGAGUUUUGCUCCGCAUCAAACAACUCAUGGGUAUUAUGCAUUCAUCUUCUUCAAUUGUUCUGCGAAGGACUGGAUAGGUGUAAGUGGUUCUUCUCCCUCGAUCUGUCUUCGUUGGAAGGUAGGGUUUUCCCUCUAUCUGGGUGUCCCGUUGAGUGCUACAUCUAGUUGUCUCCCUGUUUGGAGGUUUGGUUGACUCCUUUUCUACCUCAUUUCGGUUUUCCACAAACUGCCACACCAUGCCCCUUCUCCAGGGCUAGAAUAGUAUAGGUAAUAACUACCGAUCCCAAAAUGACUCCAUGUGCCCCGUCCGCUUAGACUCUUACUGCUUUCAUGAGUGCUGGCCCUUAUUGUAAGUUUCAGAUAGACCAACCUACUUUGGCGCACGAGGUGGCUAGGUAACAUAAAGUCAGGGUAUCGGACUGCAGAACUCCAUAAGCGCUUAACUGCUCAAUGGAACUUUCAACACUAAAUGGAGUAGUGGUCGACCGACGCCUUAGGUCCUUUAAUCAACCCCUUUUUACCCUAAUGGUAAUAGGGUGUGUUGUUAGUUUUGACUCUAUUCUAUGGAUUUUUAUUGGAAUGAAAGAAAUGACUUUCUACUGAGCUGCUUUUCAUAGCUAAAGUAGGCCAGUUCCUGUUGACAGUUAAGUCGGUUCAGAAAGUGAAUCAGUGUCAUUGGAUUCUUCCACGACCCCAACAACAAAUAGGGCAACAUUGGACAUUACCGGGUCCGCUGUGAGCAAAUCGCCUCUUUGCGCAAAUCCUUUUAAGCCAGGAUUGCCCCUAUUCGGUUCUUGGAGAAGCCCGGGUAAGAUUCAUAGCUAAUGGUUUCAUCAUCCUAUGAUCACAUUCCUUUUUCGAAUGGACUGCUAUCACUCGUCUGCGAACAGAUCCUUCUCUUGUCUUAACAGAAUUCAGAAAUCCAUUCCUACUGCCACUGCUCGUCCGUAGGCUAGAACGAUAUAACGGAGCGCUUACUUCUUUUGUGAACACCAAGCGUAACAACAAUUCCCACGUCAAAGGAAAGCUAGUGGAACUAGAGAUUGAAGCAAAGCUCAAAGAGAAAUUGAUGUAACAGCAAAAGCAGCACGCAGCGAAUACAAGAUAGUCGAGUUGCUCAGCUACAGUCGUUGUAGUAGGCCUAAGGUUUUGUUUCCCCCAGUGACUUUAAAGCGGCCGGCAUUACGAAGGCAGGAACUUAGCUUUCUAGGCGACAACUUUAGAGUGGAAAGUGGAAUACGAACCACGAGUACGGUAUCAAGGUUUCUUUCUGGACGUGGACAUUUGCGCUUGCUGGCUUUUUCAAUUGAAUAAAAACCCUUAGGAAUAACUCGCCCAGAUCCUUUAGUUGCUCCUAAUGGCAGGUGCUAUGUUUCCACAGGUGUUAUAGAAUAGAGCUUGCCCUGCGCUUCGAGGAAAGGCCUGCGGUGAAGUCUGAAAUCAAGCAAUUAUCUAAAUCAAGUUUCAUGGAUUCCUUUACACUGUAAAUAGGGAGAUCCAGCUAGAAUAUAGCAAGUCAAUCUUAAGGCACGAAAGAAAGACUUGGGCGCACAAGGAUAAAGUAGAUACUGCCCAGAACAGCACUCUUCCUCAGAUUCUAUAGAUUCCGUUUCCGUUCCUAGCGAGCUAACAUAAAACAAUUCCCUUCCAAACUAUCCUACUGCUAUUCGCUUGCCAAUCACCUAAAAACUCAAAACAAAGAAAGCCCAGUUGGGACGGGACGGCAAAAGAAGGAUAAGAAUUCCCAUGCCUGGCAAGAGACUGCAUUAAGGAUCUGACAAUCGAAGGAAGCACUUACUUCACGUAGUAAAGCCUCUAACUAGAUGAAGUAAACUCCCAGCGAGAAAGAAUUUCACAGGAACUGCCAACUCAAAGCGACGAUAAAGGCUAUUGAUACUACUCAAAAUACUGAAAUACUAUAACCUUGGGGAGGAGCAGAAAUCCACUUCUGGAAAAGGGACAGCACCAAUCCCAACUCAAAAGGUAGGGCGGGUCACCUAUUCCCUCGGCUGGCACAACAGAAAAGAUAUAGCCUAGCAAGGAACUUAAUAGUAUUGAAGGAAGAGGAGGAGUGCCAACUUUAAGGGAUCCCCAAAGAAUAGGAGGUAUAUUUCAAGUCAAAAGUGAACUAUAGAAAUUGAAGCUUUUUAAAGUCAAAGUCAGAAGGUAUGAGUUUAAGUUCAUCCAUAUCUGUAAAAGUUCAUCCAUUCUCCUCUCGUCUCUUUUGGGUUAUGUUAUCCUUAGUCCCCACACCACAGCAGUCUUAGUUUUGGGGUUAUGUUAUCCUUAGUCCCCACACCACAGCAGUCUUAGUGUGAUUCCGUCUAGCACUAGCAAAAGAUGGUGGCAUUCCCCUUGGCUUCACCCGGCCGAUAGAAGGUUCGAUUGGGAAGUUUCAUUCUGCUCUAGGCGAAAUACAAAGAAGGAUCGAUAUUCUUGAUUUCUGUCUUUUCCAGAGCCCUGAUUCGGCCUUAGCUUAGUUACUGAGGAAGCAGAUCUCUAUCUACAGGGAUUCUAGGCUAUGGUGGUUGACUUACUAGUUAGGUUAGUUGUAGAAUUCUAUUACUUACUCGGGUAGUUGACAUACUAAGUAAGGGUAGUUUACUGACUUGGAAGAAAUGAAAAGAAAUGAGAAAUAUGAAAUGCAGGCUUCAACCAGGCAGUUUCAGAAUCCAACUAGUAAGUAGGUGAGCUAGUCGGAAAGUAGGAAUUCCACUAGUUAGUAGUAAGCCUUAAGUCAGUUGCCCGAUGACCUAGUAGAACUAAGCCAAGGUAUUAAUUCCCUGCUUAUAGGUAUAUACUCAUAAUUGAACUAGCAGGUAUAAGCCCUAAAACCAGUGCAUCAAGGACAAGAAUCAAACUAGAAGGUAAUGAUUCCCCGCUUCUAUUAGUAGUAGAGUAGUUGAAUAAGUAGUUGGUUACAGAGGUAUCGGAUAAGAGACAGAGGCUCAAGGCUCAAUUAGUACUCGUUGCCAGCCCAGAAUCAAGACUAGUUGUAUCGUAGUCAAGAGCCAGGGGAUAGGUAGGAAAGGUAGAAUCUUGAAUAAAGAGGAGAGGCGACGAACUAGACUCAAAAGCACUAUAGGGACAUUUACGGAGGAAACAUAGGUCAUUUGCCAUCAAACCCCAUAAGUGAUGAAAUAGCUCAUUUGAAGCCGACAAGGAACGGAUAGACAAGCAAGGAGACCAGGCAGAUAGACAAGCAAGGAGACCAGGCAGCGUCCUGUGUGAACCUGUAUUUGAUUCUAUCUUUCUUUCUUAUGAGACCCCUAAGGCAACUUGACCUCUGGCUCUGCUCGGCUUGGUUAUACGUGACUUGGCUGAUAGCGGUGGUUGAGUGACUGAGUUUGGUUGUUGGCUAAAGUAAGGGUAGUUAGAGUGCCGGGCUUACUGGUUUCUUCAUUGAAACAAGAAAUAAAAGAAUGCAACUAUCGGAGGGCAACUAUCCCUCGAAUAAGAAGAGGAACAGAAAUGGGUAAGAAUGGAAGGUGAAAGUAAGCACUAAAGGAAUCACUUGGAGGUGUUGAUAGCUCUGCGCUCGCUAAUCCUGUUAACGGAAGCCUAAAACUAAAGUCUGGUCCAGCGCUACUAAGUAUUGAAAGUUCCUGUGAGAGUUUCAUCCUAUAUAGAAGAAAAGUAAGAGUCAACUAAAAAGCUUGAAAGCGAAGGAACAAGUAACUGCUAAUAGACAAGCUGGAAAGAAGAAAGGUAGGCAAAAGAAGUGACCAAAACUAGAGAAUUAGCCGAGGGGGUGUAGUGUAAUAGACAUCCUAGGAGGUGUGUAGUAGAAGAAGUGGAGAAUCAGCGGGAACUCUAUAAUCAUAGGGAACAAUAGAAUCAGCGGGAACUCUAUAAUCAUAGGGAACUAUAUCAGAUACGGGAUAAGGUACAUAAGCAGAAGUCAGAGAAUCAGCGGGAACAAGAAAAUAGACUAGAUAAAAGAGUCGCGUUCUCAUGCCCACUACUAUGCGGUUAAGUCGAAAGAGAAUGCACCGUAGAAAUAGAAAGAUAAGAUAAGAGGGUUGUUUGUAUAGUAGACCCGGGUAAUUAGCCAUAAGUAAGUGCCCAUUUCUUCUUCCUCUGUUGCUUCAGAGCCAGACUUAGAGCCAAUAAGUUCUCUCGAAGACUGUUAGUAUAGUCAACUUUACAAGCACUGCUAAUUCUUGAGUAAAGAGCCGAUGGAGUACCCAAAAGAUAGAAAUUAAUCACAUUCAUAACCGGAAAGCGACUACUACAAAGGAAAAGAGAGAAAGAAUCAAAUAAGGUAUACCUCAUUAAGUGAAUAGUUGACAGAGUUGCAUGAGCCAGAGAGGGAUGAGAUCGAGGUCAGUUAUGAUUAUUAGUGGGAAUACCUUUAGUUGUAGUCCAGGUAGUAGUGGUCCAAUCGAUAAGUAGUGGUCCAGUGAGAAAGUAGAGUUCCUGCUCGAGUGAUGAGUUGAAAGAGCUAGAUCAGUUGCCAAAGAAAGAGAGAAAGCUGUAUCGGGGAGGAAGACAAUAAGUGACUUUUUAGGAUAGGUCGGGUGUCAGGUAUAGUAUUCUAGAUGAUAGGCUGUGAGAGUUUAAUCCCUAGCUAGUUUACAGAGGAUAGAGAAGAUUAGCUAGUUGCAAGAGGAGAGUUAUCAGAGCAAUCCAAUCCAUAGUUCUUAAAGAAUAAAGUAAGGGCUUUGAGGCUAGGGGUUGUUGUGGAUUGGCCCCUUUCCACUCAUUUGGAAGAAAUGUGGGAUGAAUAAAAACAAUCAAAUCACAGCCAAGUCACUACUAAUGUGACGCUAAAGUGCCGCUAGUUUCACAAAUAAGGCAGAAACCUCGAGAGCAUUUUUCUAUAGAAACUCUAUACUAGUUAGGAAGGGAAAAACAUAGUCUAAUUCUAUCUGUUAUUAUUAAGGAAACCAGCAGCAAUCGAGUCUUCAUCAAAUACUGGUUCUUGUGAGCAACAGUAGGAGUUACAAAGAAGAGAGAAUAAAUAGUGGAAAGAUAAAAGAAUCAUAGGAAGUGGAAGGUCGAGUUAGAGUUAUGAGCCAGCAGCUUGUUUUAUUCUUUCACUCUGAUAAGAAAGAGUGGAUUAACUCCCUUCCCGCUUGCAGUUGACUUUCGAACUCAAGUUAUGGUUAAAACGGAUUGUAUGCCGCAGCUUGCCUACUUGCUAUGUGCUCGGGACGGGAGCAAUAACUGUAUUAGUUGCCAUUGCCAGAGGAGAGACGCCGUCAGCAAGCAGUUCUUAAAGCAAAGGAGUGCUGUUUUAAAGCAAAGGAGUCAAGUUUUCGUACACGGGUUUUGGUGAGCCAAGUCACUACAAGUGGAAUCCCUUUAGUACUGUUCCUGGUGGCCCCUGUUCCGCCUUUCUUAAAAGAAGGGCAGCUUCAGCUGCGAUGGCUACUGAUAUCACUCUUAGCUCCCGAUCUCAAUGCCCUAUCUCUGAAACUGAAACGGAUGAAACCAAUGCAGAGCUUGUCUAUACAGCUAACUCAUGUAAGGCAGACUCAAACUGGAGCAUAAUAAUAAUAGGCGGGGGUUCCGCUAUUACCUACCCAGCUAUGAAUUCCCGAGGUACAUUGAUUCCUGGGGAUGCUACUCAACGACUAUGUUAUUUGACUUUAGCCCGAUACUAGUGCUACCAAGACUUCACUACUAUCAUAUAAGAUGUAACCCACUGAUAACAAGGCUUUGGUGCUAGGCCGGGAAUCCAACUCAUAAGUAAGGGACAUCGGCUGAGCGCUACUAUAGUGUAUACAGGAAUAGAAGAACUGAUGCCACUGAUAAUUUCACUAACGCCAAUCAGACGGAAAGGCAGGCCAAGCAACUUACAUAGCUCGUAGUCUUCUGAUCCCUCUUCCAUUACUAUCUCUCGUGCCCCAGUUCCUUAAACUCAUGCCUUUCACUCUUAGUUUCCCAUCUUUGAUUCUUAUUACAUAGGUGAGUAUAGCGCAUACAGGACAUAGCAUAGAGCCUACCAAGCACAAGAAUAGAGCUACGACGCUUCUAAUACUUGAACCUGUAAUAUAAAGAAAUGCACUGGUGCUUUAAAUACUGGAACUCGAAACUGGAAUUCUGACCUUUUUCGUCUUAGAUGAUUAACUAUCAAACUCAUAUGUUGCCCAGAUAUUGAGAAAAGGAUAGCUUAGCCAGCAAUGGACUUAUAUUAGUAAGCAUCAGAACCGAACAGGUAAGUAGAAGCUUAUAGGUCAGGAUACCCGGCUAGCAAGCAGGCGUAAGUCAAAGGAUUUCAAUCAUUAGUAAAUAGGAUGAUAAAACAGAGGGUAAGCGCUCGGAGUUGAACUGAUUAGUCACAGAAUUCAGGGAUAAGAUAUGUAAUUUCCCUACUGGUUCCCUAGCUCUCAAGUAGUAAAUAAAUAAGAAAAACGUAGUAGUAUGGGUGACAUACAUCCCAAGAAUAGAAAUAAGUAGUAAGGCAACAACUCUCAAGUCGGAAUCAAACAAAGAAGUAAGGAUGACAGCGCCAAUCCGAAGAGUAGAACCAGGCCCGGGUCUCUACCGUUAUUCGUGACUUGCCUGCCUGGCUGUACUUUUUCACCUAAGAAAAUACUCUCUCAAAUGCCAAUCAAUCUUAUAUAAGUGAACUGAAUAGUUUUGUAUUUCAUAAUAUCAUAAUAACAGAUGGAAUCAAAGCUAUUAGGGACAGGCUAGCAAUCGGGCAUAGCAGUUUGAGUUUCAAAGCAAGGGAAGCGGGGAUCCGGAUCGGCAGUGAGAGAACGAAGGCAAGGGGAUAUGGUCUAAGAUAAGGUAAAGCAAAACGGAAAGUCAAGGUAAUCAGAUUUGAAGCAAGGCAGCUUUGAUGUCAGUCCAUGGUAUUUUAGAAUAGGAGUUAGGAAGGGCAGGCCAACACACCUCAAAGUCAAGGGUCUCAUAAUGAAAGUCAGCACUACAAUACAUUAACUAACAACCCAGGCGAAAAGUAAGGGUAGGGAGAUUCAUAGGCCGCGUAGCAAAGAGAGGCUAGGCUCUAGGCCAGUAAUACAAGAAUCAAAACACAGAUCCGAAUCAGCAGUGAUAGCCUAAUAGAGCGGGGUUGUUUCCUAGGGUUUUCAAGAGAUAAGUCAGAUACGGAUGGGAACUCGGAAUGACACUAUGCACUAGGAGACCUUAACUAGGAAAUAAGACUUACUUGACUUCCCAUGGGUCUUACUGCCCAUACUUACUAUUGGAUAACUACCUACUAUUAUAUAUUAGAAGCAAAUAGUGCACUAACGAAUGAAACUACAACGGACGAGAAUCAAGCUAUUACUUCCGAGAAUAAACCAAAGAGUAUAGAACCUAACUACCGCUUCUCGGGCUUAAGUAAAUAAGGUGUAGUUCUAGGCUAAGGUAAGAGUCGAGCAGCUAAGUCAAAGAACGAAAUAAGGGCAUAGGGAACAGAACCGGGGCCACCAAUACUGUAUCUUGUAAUGAGGAAAUCAACUCGAAAAGGCAAGACUUGACCCGCUACCGGGAAGAAUCAAUCCAAUGUUAAUAAGACUUCCUUACUGUCUCAGCGCUCAGUGAAACUACCAUAGUACCAGAAAGGAUGGAACAAGCGCUUAUAGGACUUUCACUCACAACCGGCAAUUUCACUAACAAGUAGUAAAUAAACUAGUGUCUUUAAAGCUCUAACUACUGCUCUCAAGGCUAACUACCUCGGCUUUCACUCUCUGGGCUCCCUAUUGACUUUAUUGCUUUUGAGCUAAAGUGUGAAACUAUUGAAUCCAAAUCUUAUACCUCUGCCAACAAGAGUAAGACAACAACAUACUACUCUUUUCAUUCCGAUACCAUGGCAUAUAAAUCUUAUUACUCUACAAAUAAGGAUGGGACUGCUGAAGGGAGACUGCCCUUAUUACCUAUUUGUUUGACUUUCCUUGCUCUCAAGCACUAGAACUACCCCUAUGAGAUUAGACUGUUCCUAUACCAUAUGGGAAUGAAACUACAAAAAAGAAGUAGUGCUUUGGUUUCAUCCCAGUUCCCGUAGGAGUAAGUAUCUGAUCACUCUCCCCAGUAGUCGGAAUGCAACUAAACAGUAUAAGAGUCAAGACUCAAAGUAAGGGCAGCUUCGCAGCUGUCAGUGUGAAAGAGGUGGGUAGUGUGAGUUUAAGAGAAAGGUAUGGCAGGCUCUAAGGCAUUACCGGAUCAGUAGCUCUGGUCUUAGGUUCUAUUCUUGUUAGCCCUAGUUCCCAGCUCCAUUCUCACUUUUAGACGUUGCUUGGCGAAGCAAUCUCGUAACUAUAGUACUGGAAAGAAUGCACUACUUACCUAGUGGAUCAAACGACUCUUGUAAAUAUAAUAAGAAAGGAUGUAGAAACCUAUACUAUCAUAUAAUAAUUAAUAAUGUUUUAACAAGCCAAUCAAGAACUGAAUAAGGAUUUCUCAUUGUUUAAGCACUGAUCUUCUCUAUUCUCGACGUACCAACCGUAGUUUUGUUCUGACUUGAGAAUUGAGUUGACUCUAGUUCAUGGGCAUAAUCAAGUACUCGUUUUGCUAACCUAAGUCUAUGAGAAAGAAGUUGGUGCUAGGGUUGUGGAAAGUUCAGGAGUUAUUCCCUUGUGUAUAAGUCUGCAAGAUAAAUGAUUGGCGCUUGUCAGUUGCCCGCUCAAAGUAUUGAUUACUCAGAUAUGUGCUUGAGAAGUCCAGACAAUAAAAUAAGUGUCGAAGUCGGCAAAAGGAGAGGAUGGCGAGAAGACAUAAACAAGUCCUGUGUUCGGGAGCUAGUCCACCGAUUGCCCGAAGCUAGUAACUAAGAUCAGAAUCAAACUCAUGGGUUGGAAAGUGAGAAUGCAACAGGGUAGUCUUUCGGGAGUUAGAGUGAAACGGUAGCGAGCUAUAAUAGCGGUAGGUUGUUGUUGUGUUUACUUUAUUAGUACUCGCCCCGACACACCAAUCAUUCUUUUACUGAUUAGUUCGAUCUCCUAAGUUUGUAUUGAUUCUUUGACUUAUUAGUUGAGCUGCUGUGUAAGUAGUUAAGCCUGAGUUCCCAGUUAAAGUAUCUUAGUGCGCUGUUUCCCUCUUUGACUACGAUGAUCCUCAACUAAUACAAAUAUAGAGCUAUAAGGCUAUAGGCGGUGUAGGAUCUAGUGCAUCAGAUAGCUAUUAACUAAAAGAAUUCAAAGAACAAGUAAAAGACCUCGAGAUACUGUUUAUAAGACUGAUUAACUACCCACUCUAACAAGAAUAGAGCGACUACUAUAUGAAUGGAACUAACUGGUAGAGGAUGAAACUUGAAACAUGGGAUCCAAAUACUGACUAUGAGACUUGAACACAACUCCAAUAGAUUGAACUGAGUAGCCAAGGAAUCAAACCAACGCCUAAAAGCCUAGCCCUACUAAAGAAAUGAACUCGCUAUCCUGUGUCGAGAGUCACUCUGCCCCUCUUUGCUUGAAAUCUGAGAUAUACCUCCUCGCACCCUGUUUGUUAGCUUCCCUGCCUUACCCGAAAACCGUAUCUCUGCUUUAACUCUGACUGCCGUGUCUAUUAUUCUUUAGCCAAGGCAAUAGAGACUAGGGAAUAGCGUAUAAAGAGUAGAAUCGAACUAGUGCCAACGGGAAUCCAACACUCACUGAUAGACCUACUACUUUACAUAAUACAAAAGAAGUGAACCACUGCCUCUUAGACUUAACUAGGUGCUUCUAAUACUUACCCGACUCGCCCGGAUCCUGUGUUCUAUUACGAGUAUAUGCCACUCCCAUCCCAACUACCAUUAUGUAACUCAUGUCUAUUGGCCUUACUUGUUCCCUUGCUUGAUCUUUGACUUCUUGAAUGUUAGUUUGCUGUUGCUAGUUUACUAGUUCCUGCCGAAGAAAUAAGGAUUGGCGCUUGUUCGGUGCUCUAGCUCUAAGUCAUAGAGAGAAGAAUGGCCUGGCCUGUUCUCAAGUAAAGUUCGGGUGCUAAAUCUCUUGCUGAUAGCGGGUACUUUUGAACUCACUCCUACUGUUCCUACUAUCCUAUUGCCCCAUUGCAUCCUUAAUAACAAUAGUAAUAGGAGAUAGAUCUAUCCCUAUAAAGAACAGAACUUCCCGCCUCCACCAACUUACUAUAAGGGCCUAUGGCUCAGCUACCUAUGGGAACUGUAAACAAAUACUUCUUGAAAGAGCUAUACCUACUUAAUUAUAAGGGCAACUGCCAAGCGUAUACUAGACAAUAGUAGCAAGAGGAAAAAUUAGGACUCAAAAAGAAAGGUGAACUCUGGCUCAUUCAUUGAAAUAGUAAACUCCCGAAAACAGGACUUGCAAAUUACUCAUACAAACUUCUAAUUAAGUAAGCGCAUAUUAAGCUUGUUCGAUCGGAACUACAUUCUUUGGACCACUACAAGGGAAAGCGUCAACUACUCUGUCUUAUAGCUCUAAUUCUUAUCUCUAACCCCCAGGUAAACAGUCCUUUCCUUGACUUCCCGCAACAAAGCCAGUAAGAUAUGAUUCCUCGGACAGCUAUAGACCUAUAUCUUUAUUUCGGGAACAAGCAUCUCUGUAUCUGUGUUGGCUUGGAAUCCAUUUAAGUGCUCGAAUCCAACUCAAUACACUAGAUGAAACUCAGUGAACUCAACUCGGAACUAUAGGAACAAUGCAUUUGAGAAUCCCAACUUCGGAGUAUAAGAAUGAGGAGGCGCCCCGCAAGAUCAAACUAACAAGUAGAAAUACCGGACAUAACUCUAAUGCAUUGACGAGGCAAGAGAGACUAUAACUAGUGCUUCUAUUACUUUAACUGGGAACUUCGAAUUGAGCUAGUGCUUCUCGGAAUGUGGAUGCUCAAACUCAAAAAGUCAGAAUAUGGUUACGAGGUAGGCGCAUCCAAAGAUUCAAAUGCAAGCUAGGGAACAAGACCUUUGCUUGGAACUGCAGCCUGUAGCUACUGCUUAAAGGCUUUAACUAAUUGCUUUCAUUCUUCGACUCAUAAGUAGGAAUCGCACCCCGGCAGAACCAUAAUGACUAUGCCCCCCGCCACCGGAGAAGACUUAACCUAGUACUUCAAAGCCCUGUUACCUCUUCUCUGAGCCUGCCGCUGCUGAUCGAAAAUAUGAGAAAAUCCCCCAAGAAACUAGGCUUGCUGUUAAGGGUUUCAACUAGCACUCAGGUCUACCGGGGGUCGAACUCAGACUUACUUGACUGUUAAUCGGGCGGACUUCCCUGGCUAUUAGGCUUACAAUCCUUCCUUUGAAACUGACAUCUCUACUGAAAAGAAUGGAAAAAGAAACUAGGAAGUCAACCAAUGAAAACAACACUUGAGCUCAUUGCAAGGAAAUACACUAUUGCUCCCAAGCCUGCCCCUCUUGUCUUUGAGUCUACCAUGCCUCUUGAUAUCAUUCCAAAACGACGAAAUAGCACUCUGAAACUACUCACUAUAAUAAUUUCCAUAAUGCCUACGAUAACUAAACUAAGCAAAAGCGAGACUGGGACCGCUGCUCACAAUAAUGAAACAAGCGACUGGGAAUGGAACCGGGAAUACAGGAACAGGGUACUGCUUCUAAUACUUUACUUCUUGAAACAAGCCCUGCAGCUGUUACCUAUUGACUGAACUCUUGCUCUUUUCUCUCUCCUAUGGCAACUAGCUAAUCUCUAUCCUAUCCUCUGAUUCUGGUUCCGAUAAGUGGGUUUCAUUCUGAUCUUCAGUACUUAUAGGCUUCCUCUCCUAUUCUGCACUUCUUUACUUAUUGCUUAGCUUCCUCGCCUCGAACUUUCACUGGUUAUUCUCUUUCUUACCGAUUAGUUCCAAUUAGGCUCCUCUCUGUCCUAUGCCUAUCCGAUUAGUUCCAAUUAGGCUCCUCUCUCGCUACUAGACCUAUGGCAACUAUACCUUAAUUCUUCUAUGGUUCUGUCAACUACUACUGUUAUGGCUCUGGGCUCUGUAAACUCAUACAGUUAUUGCUCUGGACUAUUCUCCUCUUGCAACAACAAAAUCAUUUGAAUGCGCGUACCCGCUGCAGGGCGAGUUAGUCUCUUGAGCACCGGAGGAAGCCACUGGUAGAUCAGCAACUACAAGUCCCAAGUCCAGGAAAAACCUCUGCACUAAGUAAUAAAACAGGAAAUAUUAUUGUAUUCUCUUCUCGGCCUUUGAUGCGAGGUGCACUUCCAUAGAGAAAGCUGUUCCAGUGGAAUCCUUUAAAUAAGAAUAAGGGAACUACUAAUAAGUCUAACUUCCACUCUGAUAUCACUCUAUUAACUGCUGAAUAAGAGGCCCAAGCAUCUGUCUUUGCAAGAACCAGAACAAGGCAUUCUACUGCUGACUUUAGAACUGAUCCUUCUCAAGCUGAUGUAUAAAAGCCUUCUUUCUCUGUUGGCUCUGGCUCUUUGAACUAAUUAGCAACUUUCUUGAUUUCUUGAUUUCUUUCUGAAACUUAUGGCUAGUCUCUUUGAACCUAGUCUCUUUUAAGAGGAUAAAUUGAUUGAGUUUAUAAGAAAGCUCACUCCGCGUAACAUUUGUAUAUACUUGGCGGGUUCUACUACUCCACAACUGCUUCAGAUCCUUUUCCAACCUCUGAUCGAGUAGACUAGGAUGAAACUCGGGGUUAAAAGACAGAUGAAACUCUUGCAACAAAGACAUCUGAAACCAUGGACAGAUGCUAGAUCGGAAGAAACAAGAGAUGGCAACAAUACCUUCAGCAGAAGCAACUGGUAGAUCAGCAACUGAGUUAAUAUAAGAUAGAAUGAAAUACCUGUAAGUAACUGAAUCAAACUAGAAACUCGCAACUACGUGCUUUACUUAUAUAUCGUGUAUAAAGAAGCUCUUUUCUCGAGCCUAUGGAGCGGCGAUACGCUAAGUCAAGCAAGAGGGAGCAGGUGUUCAAGCUAGAUCAUAAGAAGGUUCAUGUGCAUCCGCUUAUGAAUGGACAUAAAGAGAUGAUACUUUACCUUGCCCCCCCACAAAGAGAUUCUAUAAGACACCUUUUUUGGGGCGAAGAGCAACUCCUAACCUAUCUCCUACCUUGGUGACAUCAAUCUAGAAUACCUAACUCAAUCCUUUGACCUUGCCUUUGAAUCCAUUGUAGGAUCUGCUUAUAGCUAAUCCUGUUCUUGCUUAAGGUUGAACUCUGACCCCCUUAACAACUUACUUAUAUCCACAGGCAAGCUAGCAUCCACUGAUACCUCGCACCCAACCCGAAGGAAGGAGCGCCUGCUUUUAAUCACACCUCUAUGGAAUCUAUCUCUUUAAAAUGGAUCAUAUUAUCGGAAUGGAAUUGCCCCGACUAACGCUUCAUCUUGAUUUCUAGCACUUGGUAUAGAGUUGUUGAGUAAAGACAUAAAUAGCUUCCCUUUCAGAUCGGCUCGGCCUGGCUUCCUUCCCUUUUGAAUUGAACUAACACAAAGAAAGAUUAAUUGGAUUGCAGGGGGACCCCUCAUACUUUUUUGCAAGAAGGAGCACUAGGCACGCCGGUUGGUUAGCUACCUAUUCUAUGAUACCCCUGCCCUCUUGCGAACUUGAAUUCAUAGUUUCUCGGUGACUUCUGCCUUUCCAGCUUUCUAGUAUAAUUCCAUUCUUCUAACUCACUGACGCGCUUUUAGCUCGUUACCGCCACGAAGAAAGGACACUGUAGCUUGCACUUAUUAACGCUGCUUGUUGGAACUCAUCGACUUGGACCAAUCAUUUAUUGAAACUUCAACACUUGUGCACCAACAUAAGAACACCUCUUUCUCUCUAUGACAAUGAGGCGAGACGAGACAAUCAGUUGACGUGCAUUCAAUUCCAACUUUCAAUGUGGAAUCUUUCUCUUACUCUUAUUAUCUAUAUCUAUAUGAAACGAGAUCUAUUUAUCUUUCUUUUGCUUCAUCAGAUCUGUCUUUUGCGCGUAAGAGAGUCUGACCUUAACCGCUUUCCUUCACAUUCUUCAGGUGAACUCUUUGGAACCGAGCCCUAAACUCGAACACUCUUCUCUUGCUCCUACACCUAUGUCAACUAAUACAGUUAUGGCUCCCCCAUCUUCCACUUAUACUAAAGUAGUCAAUCCUCUUUACCGCAACUCAGAUAUAUAGUAGAGUUACUACUACUCGGCAGAGAAACAGGUAAUUUGACUUCUUGUACAGGGUUGGUGACUUCUUGUACUGGCUUGUCUAUGACUUUAGAGUUUCUUUCUGGAAGUGAAGCUAGCUAACCUUACUUGCUUUCCCUAGCUAACCUUACUUGCUUCAGCCCUCUUUAAGGCUUCUACUUAUUGUUUUCAGUCUGAGUUUACUACUUGCCAACGACGUUCAAUUCUAAGAUUGACUGGUUUCAUUCUUGCCCUGACCUGUUCCAUUCUUUGACUACCUGGUUGCACUCUUAGUUUCCAGGUUAUUUCUUCCCUCUCCUCUCGCAACAAAGUCGAUACUUUCUUCUUUCCCUGAACUGCUAGCCAGUCAGUCAAUUACUUUACUCUGCUACUUACUAUAAGGGCCCGACUUCCUAGAGAUCUGAGUCCAAUAACUUCCCUUUGACUCGCUUGUAUUUCACUCUUGGAUUUAUUGUUCCUACUCAAGAUAUGGAUACAGCUUCAUAUCUUACUUUAGCCUAUUCUUCUUAGGAAACUGAUUAUGAUCUCUAAGCCAAGCCAACAAAGACAGAUACAACUAAUUCACUUAUCGCAGCACAAGCACCAACCUGGACAACACAAUAAUCAGAACCUGACUUGAGAACUGGACCUUUACCUUAUCCCUCUUUUUGACCAUAUUAUAGUAGAUAGUAAACUCCUUCACCUGAGUCUUGGGAUGAAACUAUAACAUAAACGACAAGGAGCUAUAGGAACUCCACGACUAUGGGGCGCUAACUGGAUACUUUAUUCGAGCUGCUUCUGAUCGAGUCGGGAGCUACGCCUCUUAUGAUUCUAUAAAAGGAUGAAAGUAGCCCACUGCUUGCUGCUUCUUCUAUUGUGUCUAGUUUCACACCGUAUUCCUUACUUAGCGCUCCAGAAGGAAUCAGAGGUACCCGGCCCGGCACACACCCCUAUUGAUUGUCGGACAACCACCUAAUUCUUAUAUCUACUCUGGCGCCCAAUCAUUCUUUGAGCAGACCCACGUUCAGUUGAUUAGGGGACGUCAACUCUCAAGUAAGAGAUAAGAAAGUCAGUCUAAGCUUCCAAGGCGAUACCAUGGCUAAGAAUUUGACUAGUGCUGACAAGAACCAAACGGGUAAGUAAUAGAAUCUAACUAACAAGUGAAAGAAAUCAACUGAGAAUAACGAAUCAAACUAGUGCCUAACAGGACUGACUCCUCUUGUCAAGUGAAUCAAACUCAUAAGUCAGAGAAUGCAUCACUGCCACGAUAGACCGAAACAAGAGACCAGUACCUUAACUCACAACGGGUAAUCCAAUUAGACUAUAUC
rnacentral:lncRNA from 1 species